rnacentral:rRNA from 1 species
GACGAACUGGUCCUAACGUUGUUCGGAAUCACUGGGCUUAAAGGGCGCGUAGGCGGUCCGACAAGUCAGGGGAUGAAAUCCUGCAGCUUAACUGCAGAAGUGCCUUUGAAUACUGUCGGUCUUGAGGGAGAUAGGGGUGUGCGGAACUCACAGUGGGAGCGGUGAAAUGCGUUGAUAUUGUGAGGAACGCCGGAGGCGAAAGCGGCGACACGUGGAUCUCUUCGUGACGCUGAGGCGCGAAAGCUAGGGGAGCAAACGGGG